AACGCAUAUUGCGCUCUUUGGUAUUCCGAAGAGCAUGCUUGUUUGAGUAUCAGUGAACAACACGUCAAAUACACAAAAUUCUUGUUUUUGUGGAUUUGGAUUUGAGCGAUCCUAACUUUAUAUGGUAGGCCGCUUGAAAUUUAGGUGCAGCUGGAUCAGUCUUCUGAGCUAAAGGCAUAUUUAUUUAGUCCUUGCUUUUUUUAUCAAAGCUGGAUUAUUACAUUGCUGCAGCUUACAAAAAGGUUGACUAUUCCGAGUGCUGACUGAUGCAGGAAUUUAACAGUUUGGAAAUGCGCGCAAGCUCAAGAAAAACUGUGAAUCUCGAUCUCAAAUCAAGUAAGACUACCCGCUGAACUUAA
rnacentral:misc_RNA from 1 species